rnacentral:rRNA from 1 species
GGACAGUGUCUGGUGGGUAGUUUGACUGGGGCGGUCUCCUCCUAAAGCGUAACGGAGGAGCACGAAGGUUGGCUAAUCCUGGUCGGACAUCAGGAGGUUAGUGCAAUGGCAUAAGCCAGCUUGACUGCGAGCGUGACGGCGCGAGCAGGUGCGAAAGCAGGUCAUAGUGAUCCGGUGGUUCUGAAUGGAAGGGCCAUCGCUCAACGGAUAAAAGGUACUCCGGGGAUAACAGGCUGAUACCGCCCAAGAGUUCAUAUCGACGGCGGUGUUUGGCACCUCGAUGUCGGCUCAUCACAUCCUGGGGCUGAAGUAGGUCCCAAGGGUAUGGCUGUUCGCCAUUUAAAGUGGUACGCGAGCUGGGUUUAGAACGUCGUGAGACAGUUCGGUCCCUAUCUGCCGUGGGCGCUGGAGAACUGAGGGGGGCUGCUCCUAGUACGAGAGGACCGGAGUGGACGCAUCACUGGUGUUCGGGUUGUCAUGCCAAUGGCACUGCCCGGUAGCUAAAUGCGGAAGAGAUAAGUGCUGAAAGCAUCUAAGCACGAAACUUGCCCCGAGAUGAGUUCUCCCUGAGACUACGAGUCUCCU